CGCCGGAGCCAAUCAGCCGCCUCCUCGCAUCGCCGCUCGCGCCGCUCCGGCUUGUAAGGCGCGGCGCCAUUCGCCAGGCCGGGCCCCGGGUCCGGACUGCAGGAACCUGGCGAUCAGGGUAACAAUCACUGUCAUAA